AUAAGUCAAAAUCUCUAAAGAAGAUAUGGGAUAAAAUCGCUCAAUUUAAAAUUUUGGAAAAAAAGUACAUUUGAAUUUAACUAUUUUACUACAUGAAUCAUUUUCUUGUAUUUUAUCCAUUUUUUCCCCUUCCAAAUUCAAUUCACGACAACUUUGCAAUUAAUAUUUUACGUUGAGUGUUUUUAAUAGGAGUGUGCUUCUUAUAUUAAUAUUAUAAAUGGUAUUAAUCGAAUUCUUUGAAUUAUCAUCAAUUAUUUUUUUUAUAAGUAAGAAAUUUAUUAAAAAUGAGUACAAGAAAUAAUAAUCAAACUCAUACAUCAUCCCAACUUAUAAAAAUUUAAUUAGCAACAACCCUAACAAAUCAAUUGCGUGUUUUAACCAAUAAUUAUUCAAAUCAAAUGAAAAUCAAUCACAGACAUUCCAUUCAUUUUGAUUUAAAAAUUUAAGUUUGAUAUAGUUAAUAGAGUUUAGAUGACUAAUUUUAAUUGUUGGUAAGUUAUUCAAAUCAAAUGAAAAUCAAUCACAUACUUUUCUAAAGACAACUCAAUGUGUCAUCAAGAAAAAAUGUUACAAAUUUUAGGUAAAUUUUUUAUAAACAUCUUUAUAUUCGAUACCUACUGUUCUUAAUAUCCGUAGAAAAGAAAAUGAAAAUUUAUAAAUAAGGAUGGAGAUAUUAUUCUUAAUAUUUGUAGAAAAGAAAAUGAAAAUUUAUAAUUAAGAAUGGAGAUUGUAAUUAAAAAUAAAACGUAAACACACACUAAUUUUCACAUUUCAAAAGCAUGAUAUAUUUUAUAAAUAAUAACAAUAAUUUUAUAACUCAUAAUUUUAAAAACUAAAAAAUCAAACAAGUGAAAACACUAAAUCUUAAACAAUACAAACAAUUAUUAAAUAGAGUAACUCAUUCAAAAGAUAUUAUUGAAGUCCAAAUAUCUCUACACAUACCACAAAAUCAACUAUCGUAAAAAAAACUCUUAAAAUAGAGAUAAGCACAUGUCUCUAGUACUUCAGAUCCACAAGAAAAACUCCAUUGAUUACUUGUCAUGAUCAUGUUGAAUAUAAUCUACAUACAAAUAUAUUAUAGAGCGGACAUAAGGAAGAUGUGAGUUUAUCUAUCAUCAUGUAAAAUGAAUAAAGUCAUACAUAGAUUAACACACGUUCAUGAAUCGUAUAUAAAUGGAUGAACUUUCAAUGCUAAAACAUGUAUUAUUUGAAAUUCAUUUGGAACCAAAAAUAACUUAGGAUAACAUGGAUGGUAAGGUUAUGCUAUAUGCCACAUGCAUAAUACAACACCCCUAUAGAUUAUAUUGAUGCACAGCGUGCACUCUCACUAACACUAGUUGUACAAUGACAGUUUCAACAUAACAAUUAAAAAAUGUAAAUUCAAUAAAUCACUCUCCUCAUAAUCUAAAAUCAAUUUUCAAUUUCUUAGUUAGUAUAUCAAACAUUGAGUCCACACACACACA
rnacentral:lncRNA from 1 species